GAAAUAGCUCAGUCGGGAGAGCAUCAGACUGAAGAUCUGAAGGUCCCCUGUUCAAUCCGGUGAGUUUUUA
rnacentral:tRNA from 1 species